UACGGAGGGGGCUAGCGUUGUUCGGAAUUACUGGGCGUAAAGCGCACGUAGGCGGCUUUGUAAGUUAGAGGUGAAAGCCCGGGGCUCAACCCCGGAAUUGCCUUUAAGACUGCAUCGCUAGAAUUGUGGAGGGGUAAGUGGAAUUCCGAGUGUAGAGGUGAAAUUCGUAGAUAUUCGGAAGAACACCAGUGGCGAAGGCGACUUACUGGACACAUAUUGACGCUGAGGUGCGAAAGCGUGGGGAGCAAACAGG
rnacentral:rRNA from 1 species